UGCGUAGGUGGUGAGGUAAGUCGGAUGUGAAAGCUCGGAGCUCAACUCCGAAAUGGCAUUGGAAACUACCUUGCUCGAGGGUUGGAGGGGGGACGUGGAAUACUUGGUGUAGCAGUGAAAUGCGUAGAUAUCAAGUGGAACACCAGUGGCGAAGGCGAGUCCCUGGACAACUCCUGACACUGAGGCACGAAAGCUAGGGAGGCAAACA
rnacentral:rRNA from 1 species